rnacentral:rRNA from 1 species
UACGAAGGGUGCAAGCGUUACUCGGAAUUACUGGGCGUAAAGCGUGCGUAGGUGGUGAGUUAAGUCUGUCGUGAAAGCCCCGGGCUCAACCUGGGAAUUGCAUUCGAGACUGCGUAGCUAGGGUGCGGAAGAGGGAUGCGGAAUUCCAGGUGUAGCGGUGAAAUGCGUAGAUAUCUGGAGGAACACCGGUGGCGAAGGCGGCAUCCUGGACCAACACUGACACUGAGGAGCGAAAGCCAGGGGAGCAAACGGG